UACGGAGGGUGCAAGCGUUAUCCGGAUUUACUGGGCGUAAAGUGUGCGCAGGCGGAUAUUUAAGUCAGGGGUGAAAUCCCGGGGCUCAACCCCGGAACUGCCUUUGAUACUGGGUAUCUCGAGUCCGAGAGAGGUGAGUGGAAUUCCGAGUGUAGAGGUGAAAUUCGUAGAUAUUCGGAGGAACACCAGUGGCGAAGGCGGCUCACUGGCUCGGUACUGACGCUGAGGUGCGAAAGCGUGGGGAGCAAACAGG
rnacentral:rRNA from 1 species